rnacentral:rRNA from 1 species
UACAGAGGUCCCAAGCGUUGUUCGGAUUCACUGGGCGUAAAGGGUGCGUAGGCGGUCGGGUAAGUCUGAUGUGAAAUCUCCAAGCCUAACUUGGAAACUGCAUUGGAUACUAUCCGGCUCGAGGAAUGGAGGGGAGACUGGAAUACUUGGUGUAGCAGUGAAAUGCGUAGAUAUCGAGAGGAACACCAGUGGCGAAGGCGACUACCUGGCCUGUUCUUGACGCUGAGGCGCGAAAGCUAGGGGAGCAAACGGG